rnacentral:misc_RNA from 1 species
GGAGAAUCUUUGGCAGAAUGAAUCCCUUUCUUCCCGCUGAUAGCACGUGAUUCGGCCGCCAGUAAAGCAUCAUAGUAGUUUGACCUUUCCUCAAAGUCUCGGUGUCUAAUGACAGUAGCAAAGCCACGACCAACCAUCAGCUCGCCAAUAUUUGUUCCUGCCGGUUGGCUACCAGAAGAUGGGACAGUAGCAGUAUCAUCGCCAUCAGCCUUCGAAGGCGACAAUAAGAAAACAGACCCAAAAUUCAUAACUCGAG